GACGAACACUGGCGGCGUGCUUAACACAUGCAAGUCGAACGGAAAGGCCCUGCUUUUGUGGGGUGCUCGAGUGGCGAACGGGUGAGUAACACGUGAGUAACCUGCCCUUGACUUUGGGAUAACUUCAGGAAACUGGGGUUAAUACCGUAUAGGAGCUCCUGCUGCAUGGUGGGGGUUGGAAAGUUUCGGCGGUUGGGGAUGGACUCGCGGCUUAUCAGCUUGUUGGUUGGGUAGUGGCUUACCAAGGCUUUGACGGGUAGCCGGCCUGAGAGGGUGACCGGCCACAUUGGGACUGAGAUACGGACCAGACUCCUACGGGAGGCAGCAGGGGGGAAUAUUGCACAAUGGGAGGAAGCCUGAGGCAGCAACGCCGCGGGCGGGAUGACGGCCUUCGGGUUGUAAACCGCUUUCGCCUGUGACGAAGCGUGAGUGACGGUAAUGGGUAAAGAAGCACCGGCUAACUACGUG
rnacentral:rRNA from 1 species